GUUGGAAAGGGGUGGGGUUUGCCCCUGAAGAAUUGGGGUUGACUGAUGAGCCGGGAGCACCGGGGUUUAGGUGGAUACUAGACCAGUCUGACUCUGGAACAAGUGAGGAAACACAAAACUGAAGAAAAGAUAACUGAAGUAACCAAGCUACCCCCUUGAAAAUCUGUCUUAAACAAAGCCCUCAUGGAGCUAGUUGCAAGAGAGACAGCCUGACAUCAUGGCAAGAGUGCUGUCCCAGACAUCAAAAAGUAGGAGAGCUGUGAUUUGGAUUUAGAGGACCUGGAUUUGAAUCCUGACUCGUGACACUUACUAGCAAUGUGACCUUGGACCUGUCUAUCCUAGGAAGUGGAAUUUGGGAGGACCUAUGAUGAAAGAUACUGUCCACCUCCAGACAACUAAUCAACUCUGAGUACAGAUGGAAGAAUAUUUUUUCAUUUUCUUUAUUUUUCUUGCUCUUUUUGUACAAUGUGGUUAAUAUGG